AGCAGCCGCGGUAAUUCCAGCUCCAAUAGCGUAUAUUAAAGUUGUUGCAGUUAAAAGCUCGUAGUUGAAUUUCGGGGUUAGCAGGUCGGUCGUGCCAUCGGUAUGAACUGGUCUCGCUGAUCCCUCCCUCUUGACGAACUGUGAUGCCAUUAAUUUGGUGUCGCAGGGAAUCAGGACUGUUACUUUGAAAAAAUUAGAGUGUUUAAAGCAGGCUCACGCUUGAAUACAUUAGCAUGGAAUAAUGAAAUAGGACGUUUGAUCCUAUUUUGUUGGCUUCUAGGAUUGACGUAAUGAUUAAUAGGGAUAGUUGGGGGCAUUAGUAUUCAAUUGUCAGAGGUGAAAUUCUUGGAUUUAUUGAAGACUAACUACUGCGAAAGCAUUUUGCCAAGGAUGUUUUCAUUAAUCAAGAACGAAAGUUAGGGGAUCGAAGACGAUCAGAUACCGUCGUAGUCUUAACCAUAAACUAUGCCGACUAGGGAUCGGAUGAUGUUAAUUUUUUAAUGACUCAUUCGGCGCCUUA
rnacentral:rRNA from 1 species